rnacentral:rRNA from 1 species
GAUGAACGCUGGCGGCGUGCCUAAUACAUGCAAGUCGAGCGAACGGACGAGAAGCUUGCUUUUCUGAUGUUAGCGGCGGACGGGUGAGUAACACGUGGAUAGCCUACCUAUAAGACUGGGAUAACUUCGGGAAGCCGGAGCUAAUACCGGAUAAUAUUUUGAACCGCAUGGUUCAAAAGUGAAAGACGGUCUUGCUGUCACUUAUAGAUGGAUCCGCGCUGCAUUAGCUAGUUGGUAAGGUAACGGCUUACCAAGGCAACGAUGCAUAGCCGACCUGAGAGGGUGAUCGGCCACACUGGAACUGAGACACGGUCCAGACUCCUACGGGAGGCAGCAGUAGGGAAUCUUCCGCAAUGGGCGAAAGCCUGACGGAGCAACGCCGCGUGAGUGAUGAAGGUCUUCGGAUCGUAAAACUCUGUUAUUAGGGAAGAACAUAUGUGUAAGUAACUGUGCACAUCUUGACGGUACCUAAUCAGAAAGCCACGGCUAACUACGUG